ensembl:lncRNA
CGACCACAGGGUAGAGGAACACUGUGGGGAAACGUCUUGACUGGACUGACCAGACGCACCUUCUGGAUUUACACAUAGUCUAGAGGACUCUCGCUCCAGCUGACAAGACAAAAUAGAAUGGCCAAAGGGGCGGUGUUGCAAUCUACUGCAAAGAUAGCCUGCAGAGUUCUGUCCUACUAUCCAGGUCUGUACCCAAACAAUUUGAACUUCUACUUUUAAAAAUCCACCUCUCUAAAAACAAGUCUCUCACUGUUGCCGCCUGCUAUAGACCACCCUCUGCCCCCAGCUGUGCUCUGGACACCAUUUGUGAACUGAUUGCCCCCCAUCUAUCUUCAGAGCUCGUGCUGCUAGGCGACCUAAACUGGAACAUGCUUAACACCCCAGCCAUCCUACAAUCUAAGCUUGAUGCCCUCAAUCUCACACAAAUUAUCAAUGAACCUACCAGGUACCACACCAAAGCCGUAAACACGGGCACCCUCAUAGAUAUCAUCCUAACCAACUUGCCCUCUAAAUACACCUCUGCUCAACCAACAUCUCAGCGAUCACUGCCUCAUUGCCUGCAUCCGUAAUGGGUCAGUGGUCAAAUGACCUCCACUCAUCACUGUCAAACGCUCCCUGAAACACUUCAGCGAGCAGGCCUUUCUAAUCGACCUGGCCGGGGUAUCCUGGAAGGAUAUUGAUCUCAUCCCGUCAGUAGAGGAUGCCUGGUUAUUUUUUUUAAAUGCCUUCCUCACCAUCUUAAAUAAGCAUGCCCCAUUCAAGAAAUUUAGAACCAGGAACAGAUAUAGCCCUUGGUUCUUUCCAGACCUGACUGCCCUUAACCAACACAAAAACAUCCUAUGGCGUUCUGCAUUAGCAUCGAACCGCCCCCGUGAUAUGCAACUUUGCAGGGAAGCUAGAAACCAUUAUACACAGGCAGUUAGAAAAGCCACGGCUAGCUUUUUCAAGCAGAAAUUUACUUCCUGCAACACAAACUCAAAAACGUUCUGGGACACUGUAAAGUCCAUGGAGAAUAAGAACACCUCCUCCCGGCUGCCCACUGCACUGAGGAUAGGAAACACUGUCACCACCGAUAAAUCCACUAUAAUUGAUCAUUUCAAUAAGCAUUUUUCUACGGCUGGCCAUGCUUUCCACCUGGCUACCCCUACCCCAGUCAACAGCACUGCACCCCCCACAGCAACUCGCCCAAGCCUUCCCCAUUUCUCCUUCUCCCAAAUCCAGUCAGCUGAUGUUCUGAAAGAGCUGCAAAAUCUGGACCCCUACAAAUCAGCCGGGCGAGACAAUCUGGACCCUUUCUAAAAUAAUCUGCCGAAAUUGUUGCAACCCCUAUUACCAGCCUGUUCAACCUAUCUUUCGUGUCGUCUGAGAUUCACAAAGAUUGGAAAGCAGCUGCAGUCAUCCCCCUGUUCAAAGGGAGGGACACUCUUGACCCAAACUGCUACAGACCUAUAUCUAUCCUACCCUGCCUUUCUAAGGUCUUCGAAAGCCAAACAGAUUACCGACCAUUUCGAAUCCCACCAUACCUUCUCCGCUAUGCAAUCUGGUUUCAGAGCUGGUCAUGGGUGUACCUCAGCCACGCUCAAGGUCCUAAACGAUAUCUUAACCGCCAUCGAUAAGAAACAAUACUGUGCAGCCGUAUUCAUUGAUCUGGCCAAGGAUUUCGACUCUGUCAAUCACCACAUCCUCAUCGGCAGACUCAAUAGCCUUGGUUUCUCAAAUGAUUGCCUGGUUCACCAACUACUUCUCUGAUCUAUUUCAGUGUGUCAAAUCGGAGGGCCUGUUGUCCGGGCCUCUGGCAGUCUCUAUGGGGGUGGCACAGGGUUCAAUUCUUGGACCGACUCUUCUCUGUAAACAUCAAUGAUGUCGUUCUUGCUGCUGGUGAG